CUGUAGCUUUUAGGACAAUUUAUCUUACCAAAAACCCUUUGCGAUUCUCCAUUCCUUCUUUUCUACAGUCGACGAAACCAUUGAUCAAUCUACAAGCUUCGAUUCUCAAAUUGUUGCACCCCUCUCACGAUUCAGGAUUAUGCGCUGAAAGGAAUGGUUUAAUAGAGCUACUGAAACUAAAUCAGACAAAAUUAUAUAGAGAAUGACAUCGGAGAUUGUUCAAUGAUAUGUGUCAACUGCUAGAUGUUGAGUCGACAAACGAUAAAGGCGACGAAACACUUCCACUGGUAAAACUGCUUUCCCGGUGAAGCCAAAAGAGAAAGAUUCAAAUGGGCGGAAAGCGGCAAACUCUAGCUCUUGUGCAUCGUCUAGCCCUAGCAAAUGGUGGAAGAACGGAUUCAUGUAGAAGAUGUAUGAAUUGGUGAUCCAUUUAGUGGAGUCCAAAAUCUUGAUUCUUGCCUUGAUGGUUUUGAGAGACGAGCUGACUUGUAAAAUGAGCAUUAUAAAAUACCUUGAGGAGUUCAUUUCAGGUCCGUUCCAGGAAAUUUUGCCUCUUGAAAAUGGGAUCAGCCAGAGACUAGAGCCAUAGUUUGAGGAAGAUGGAGAAAUUCAUAAAAAGGCAAAAGCCUAGUCCUUUCCUUUUACUUCUCAUUUGUGUUAAGAUUUGAUAAGUGGGAGGAUGGGUUGUAAUUUUUUGAUUUUAUCAAGGUUACUUUUGUAAAAUUGUA